AUGCUCUGUUUUGUUGACGCAAGGGGCAUGGCGCCUUGGGCAGGGGCGUCAUGAUCAUGGCAUGGAGUCCUGUCCUGGAGGGUCAUGGUGCCAUGCCCUGCCAACGUGGCAAGUCGCCGCUGACCAGCAUGGCGCCCAACAACGAUGAGCGGCAGCGGAGGGAGGACGGGGAGCACACAGCGGCGGCGGAGGGGAGCAGCAGCAACAAACCUCUCUCUUCCUCCCGUCCCCCACGCCGCCACCCUGCCUCCUCUCCUCCCGUGGACGUCGACCACCCUCCACGCCCUAGCCUCCCCUUCUCCUCCUCAUGUCCUCGCCUCCGACGCCGUCGCCCCCAACCCAGGCGACCCCUUCCUCCAACUUGCGCCGGACGUCACCCGGAGUUGAGAGGAGAGGAGAGGCAGAUCUCACCACCACUGGUGACCUCCCUCCCUCCCUCCUCAGAUGGACGGACGAGGUAACACCGCCCAAAACCCUAGCCCCGCCCCUCACCCACCCACAUGGAUGGACGGAUGGGGACGGGGAGCAGGCCAGGCGGCGGCCAGAUCCACCACGGCUGCCGCGGUUCAUCUGGAUCCGCGCCCUCCCCAGUUGCUCGCGCGCUAGGAGAAGAGGAGGUGGCAGCGGCUACUGCCGUUCUCGUGCGGCCGGGCAGCUCGUCUGCUCCGACCCCGUCAAGUCUUGGAGGAGAUGCAAUAGAACCUGAGAUGCGAUUCUUCGGCCCCAACAAGCGCCAGGACAAGGGCCACUCUUCGUUUUAUAUUCCUGCGUGCAAUAUAUAGUGCAUAGUUGGUUCAUUUUCAUCUAUGACAAAUCAUGUCUUACUUUUACAUUUAUCAGGACCAGCAAGUCAAAGUUGAAACUCGACACCAUCUGAACCUAUUUCAUGGAAUUGGGGACUGAAUUUGGAUACUUUGUUUUGAGGCAAAAGAGAUUAUUUGAAGUUUGCUGAUUUCAUAAGCCCGUAAAUGACCGUACACCAUUUGAAGCGCAGGGGUGUGACGUGCCGCAACACCGACCAACAAGGUGUUGCUACUGUUUUUGCGCAGCGAGUCGAGGCGAGCCAGUGCCGAUUGCCACAAAAGGAGGUAAGCCAAGGGCGAGAAAUAGAGCAUGCCGUAUGUGGUUUUUCAUUUCAGGCAAUAAAUACUAUCAGGCUGGUUUGUGCUGUGUUGGAUUCGGUCCAGUUACAAGACAGAGGCAGAGGAUAUGGAUACAAGAAGUCAAGAAGAUACCCUUCUCUCUGUUUCUAAAUUACAAAGUACCUUGCCUGGAUCUGGAGGUGCAGUUACGGCAAACUCAACAUAGUCAAGGACAGGAAAGAACCAUGGAAAGAAGAAGGGGUUUAGGUGGUAAGCACAUUGACAGGAUCGACGAUCGACAACCCAAUCUAUCUCACUGAUGUUGAAGGUAGAGGCCCAGAGGUUAAGAUUAUGUGCAGUGAACCAUGCCUUUGUGGGAGGACCAAGACAAGAGGACCGCAUGUCGAGUAUCAGCCCUAAAAGUGUGGAGUGCAUCCGCCGUAAACAGCUACAUUGGUCUCCACCCGUUCAAUGCUGCAUCACUUGGUUCGUUUGCUUGCUUCCUUUGCUCGGUUCAGGAGGCAGUCGGGGAGAAGGCUAGGGCCAGUUACAAGAACCUCAGGGUCUUGCGUCAUGGUUGUAUCCAUGCAUGUGUUGAAAGCAUUGAGCUUAAUUUAGAUAUGUAGACGCAAUUCCUUUUCGUGUAUAAGAUAAUUGGUUUAUAUAUAGACUGUCCAUGAUGGAAGUUGAAGUUACUGUGAUAA